ensembl:lncRNA
GGAGAGAGAGUAUUCAAACGUGGAGCGGCCCAGACAAUAAGAAGAAGCGGGCGUGCUCUGAAUAGCCCAAUCUCUGCGCAGGCCAAUCCGCUGGCGUCCCUCGGCCGGUAAACAGGGGCGGACCUCCCGCCGAAACAGAGAAAGAGCUCAGAAGAGUCGGUGUUUUCCUGCAGAAAGUUUGCGUAACUCUCACUUUGCUUCAUGUAGCAUUGCUCAGACGAUGCACGGAUGCUCUUGGCCUUCUCCCGGAGGAUUGUGGGUAGAUUGCCGACGAUCCCGAGAAGAAGCGAGCGAAGUGAGACCCUUCAAACUUUCUUUGCCAUUCCUCAAUUCUGUUUUCCCCCAAACAAAGAUUUAUACAUAUUUAUAUGAGCCGAUUGACGGGAAGGUGGUCCGGAGGAGGGGAGCAGAAGCGGCGGAACUGCAGAGAUGGGGAAUUUCUUACAUUGUUUAUAUGCGAUGAAAUGUCUGAGUAAUUCAUACUCAUUCUGGAUGACAACUAUUGACUCCUUUUUUGCAUCUGAGACAAAGUUGAAACUUCAAAGAUACAGCGUUGAAUCUCCAAAGAAUCGUCCUUCAGCGACUGUCCCGCUCAGUUUGUUUGGAGUCGAACUGUCGCCCAUCUCACGCUUGACCUUGGGCACAGUGACACGGGUGAGUUCUGAAGCUUCGAUUUGACACGUCAAGAUGUUGCAGUAAUGCGAGAUAAUUUUGGGUUUUUUGCCCUCCUUGGAGCAAUCUGAAGUAAGGAAAUGUGGCAGAGUCCUUCUCCAGAGAUUACAGAUGGCGAUAAUCCCGAAGUGCACCUUUAAAGAGAAGAGAGAAACAACAAAAGAAGUUGCUGAUGCAAGUAAAAAGAAAGAGUUGUUUAAGCAGAAACAUCAAGUGACAUCAUUUAAAAUGAAG